rnacentral:rRNA from 1 species
CCCGACUCGGGGAGGUAGUGACAAUAAAUACUGAUACAGGGCUCUUUUGGGUCUUGUAAUUGGAAUGAGUACAAUUUAAAUCCCUUAACGAGGAACAAUUGGAGGGCAAGUCUGGUGCCAGCAGCCGCGGUAAUUCCAGCUCCAAUAGCGUAUAUUAAAGUUGUUGUGGUUAAAAAGCUCGUAGUUGAACCUUGGGCCUGGCUGGCCGGUCCGCCUCACCGCGUGUACUGGUCCGGCCGGGCCUUUCCCUCUGUGGAACCCCAUGCCCUUCACUGGGUGUGGCGGGGAAACAGGACUUUUACUUUGAAAAAAUUAGAGUGCUCCAGGCAGGCCUAUGCUCGAAUACAUUAGCAUGGAAUAAUAAAAUAGGACGUGUGGUUCUAUUUUGUUGGUUUCUAGGACCGCCGUAAUGAUUAAUAGGGACAGUCGGGGGCAUCAGUAUUCAAUUGUCAGAGGUGAAAUUCUUGGAUUUAUUGAAGACUAACUACUGCGAAAGCAUUUGCCAAGGAUGUUUUCAUUAAUCAGGAACGAAAGUUAGGGGAUCGAAGACGAUCAGAUACCGUCGUAGUCUUAACCAUAAACUAUGCCGACUAGGGAUCGGGACGAUGUUAUUAUUUGACUCGUUCGGCACCUUA